AUGAACGCUAGCGGAAUGCUUAACACAUGCAAGUCGAACGAACAUUGUUUUGUAGCAAUACAAGAUUAUGUUAGUGGCAAACGGGCGAGUAACACGUACUUAAUCUGCCUUUGAGCUGAGAACAACCAUAGAGAUGUGGCUAAUUCUCAAUAUUCUCAUCAAAAUGAAAAUAUGAUGAGGAAAGAUUUAUCACUCAAAGAGGAGGGUGCGGCCUAUCAGGUAGUUGGUGUGGGUAAUGGCCUACCAAGCCUAUGACGGGUAGCCGGUCUGAGAGGAUGUCCGGCCGCAAUGGAACUGAGAAACGGUCCAUACUUCUACGGAAGGCAGCAGUGGGGAAUAUUGGACAAUGGGCGCAAGCCUGAUCCAGCAAUUCCGCGUGGAGGAUGAAGCUCUAAGGAGUGUAAACUUCUUUUUUGGUGGAAGACGAAUGACGGUACACCAAGAAUAAGGGACGGCUAACUUCGU
rnacentral:rRNA from 1 species